rnacentral:snoRNA from 1 species
AGACCGUGAUGUGGGCACUUCCUUAAUACCUCCUUGAACCUUUCCCAUGUCUCAUACAAGGAUUCCACGUCUUUUUGAGAGUAUGUGUUAAUCUCGAUCAUGAGUUU